rnacentral:rRNA from 1 species
GACGAACGCUGGCGGUGUGCUUCACACAUGCAAGUCGAACGGCAGCACGGGUGCUUGCACCUGGUGGCGAGUGGCGAACGGGUGAGUAAUGCACCGGAACGUAUCCAAUAAUGGGGGAUAACGCACCGAAAGGUGUGCUAAUACCGCAUACGCCUUGAGGGGGAAAGCGGGGGAUCGUAAGACCUCGCGUUAAUGGAGCGGCCGAUGCCGGAUUAGCUAGUUGGUGAGGUAAAGGCUCACCAAGGCGACGAUCCGUAGCUGGUCUGAGAGGACGACCAGCCACACUGGAACUGAGACACGGUCCAGACUCCUACGGGAGGCAGCAGUGGGGAAUUUUGGACAAUGGGCGCAAGCCUGAUCCAGCCAUUCCGCGUGAGUGAAGAAGGCCUUCGGUU